AGGGUUGUGGCUCAGUGGUAGAGUGCUUGCCUAGCAUGCAUGGGGCAUUGGGUUCGAUCCCCGACAUCACAU
rnacentral:tRNA from 1 species